UGGAGAAGGAGGCUAAGAAGUGCUGUUGCCCAUGGCAGCAUGCAGCUGGAGGAGCACCAAAGCUGGCUGCAGGGGCCCUGAGCAGAGGGACCUCCAAGCAGCUCUGCAUGCUGUGCCUCAGCCGGGCCCUGGCGGCCAUCUGAAGGAGCAGCCUGCUCUGGCAACCUGCCUUGGCCUUCACAAAAUGGAGGCAGCCGCCUGUGGGCAAACGGAGAUCACAGCACAGUGACAUGCAAAGGAGUUUGAGAGGCUGGUCUCCUGCAAGACCAUAGAUUUUGCUUUCUACUACCAAGCCAGAGCACACACUGACUCUGCAAUGUUGAGACAAAAACACCUACAGAGUAGACCACAAAGUCCCCUGCUACCAGGUGAAGGGCUAGGCUUCUAGUGACAGAAAUGGAAUGAACUCCCAUUGUGUGAAAUUCAGAUUGCUUUGAAGCGUGUUGUGGUUUCUGUACUGCUUGCACACUGUUCUCCAAAAUUCUCCAACAACCUGAGAGCCUGCCAGGGAUUUGGUUGCAUUCUGAUUUGUACUGGUGGCAGACAAAUAUAUGAAGUGGAGUGUCCACUGAAGCCUUGGGAAUGGCUCACUUAGUAGAUCACUCACCCGAUGGCAUGCAAAAAGGAGAAAGCAAUGCUUGCAGUCAACAAAUCCUCUGCAAGAGGGAAUGGACUCUUCUCCAAGUAAAAUAUUGAUGAACCUAUAUAUUAAAUAUUUAAAAUAACAAGAAAAG